AGCAAUACAUCAGUGGCAGACGGGUGAGUAACGCGUGGGAAUCUCCCCAGAGGUACGGAACAACUCAGGGAAACUUGAGCUAAUACCGUAUGUGCCCGAGAGGGCAAAGAUUCAUCGCCUCUGGAUGAGCCCGCGUUGGAUUAGCUAGUUGGUGGGGUAACGGCCUACCAAGGCUACGAUCCAUAGCUGAUCUGAGAGGAUGAUCAGCCACACUGGGACUGAGACACGGCCCAGACUCCUACGGGAGGCAGCAGUGGGGAAUCUUGGACAAUGGGCGCAAGCCUGAUCCAGCCAUGCCGCGUGAGUGAAGAAGGCCUUAGGG
rnacentral:rRNA from 1 species